rnacentral:rRNA from 1 species
UACAGAGGGUGCAAGCGUUGUCCGGAAUGAUUGGGCGUAAAGCGUCUGUAGGUGGCUCGUAAAGUCUAAUGUCAAAUACCAGGGCUCAACCUUGGACCGGCAUUAGAGUACUCACGAGCUUGAGUAUGGUAGAGGCAGAGGGAAUUCCAAGUGGAGCGGUGAAAUGCGUAGAGAUUUGGAGGAACACCAGUGGCGAAGGCGCUCUGCUGGGCCAAAACUGACACUGAGAGACGAAAGCUGGGGGAGCGAAUAGG